rnacentral:rRNA from 1 species
GGGGAAUUUUGGACAAUGGGCGAAAGCCUGAUCCAGCAAUGCCGCGUGCAGGAUGAAGGCCCUCGGGUUGUAAACUGCUUUUGUACGGAACGAAAAGCCUGGGGCUAAUAUCCCCGGGUCAUGACGGUACCGUAAGAAUAAGCACCGGCUAACUACGUGCCAGCAGCCGCGGUAAUACGUAGGGUGCGAGCGUUAAUCGGAAUUACUGGGCGUAAAGCGUGCGCAGGCGGUUUCGUAAGACAGACGUGAAAUCCCCGGGCUCAACCUGGGAACUGCGUUUGUGACUGCGAGGCUAGAGUACGGCAGAGGGGGGUAGAAUUCCACGUGUAGCAGUGAAAUGCGUAGAGAUGUGGAGGAAUACCGAUGGCGAAGGCAGCCCCCUGGGUUAGUACUGACGCUCAUGCACGAAAGCGUGGGGAGCAAACA